AUGGCAAGCGCCCGCACGAACCUCACCGACGUUGUGCGCUCGGUGCAACUGCUCAGGGUGAACGGCUACUGCAUGACCAAGACCAUGGACAGCCUCGAGGGCAGCAUCAAAUCCAGGUGGAACGUCUACGGGUACGACUGGGAGAUCCGCCUGUAUUCCGCAGGGCUGCCAGGCCACCAUUCCAUGUACCUGUCAUGGAUAGCGGCGGAGCUCUUCUUCCUUGGCGAAGCCCGCACGCGCAACGUGAAGGCCACUCUCGGCUGUCGCCUGGUGGAUCCGAGGGGAAAGCUUAAACCAUCCGAAGAAAGGAGGCACAGUGGCAAAUUCAAGAAUCCGCAGGACACCUCGCAUCCAAUUUUGCUCAUUGAAAAAAGCGAUCUAGAAAGAUCGGCCUAUCUCAGAGACGAUUCGUUCACCGUGCAGUGCACCAUCACGGUGCUUAAGGAAAUACCCGAUCUGCCUGCGACGAUCUCUGUUAGGGGAAUAAUGGAGGUGCCAUCGUCCAACUUGCACGAGCACCUCGCCGAGCUCCUGAGGAGCGGGACCGGAGCGGACGUCACGUUCCUUGUCGCCGGCGAGUCCUUCGCCGCGCACAAGGCCAUACUCGCUGCAAGGUCCCCUGUGCUCAUGGCCGAGUUCUUCGGGCAAAUGAAGGAGAGGAGCUCUCAUGACGCCGAGGUCAAGGACAUGGAGGCGGCCGUCUUCAAGGUGCCGGAACUUGCUGACGAGACGACGGAGACGGUGACGGUUAUGACUCAGCAUCUGCUUGCUGCUGCUGACAGGUACGGGCUUGACAGGCUCAAGCUGAUUUGUGAAGAUAGGCUCUCUGGCGGCAUCAGCGUCGACACGGCGGCGACGACUCUGGCUCUCGCGGAGCAGCAUGACUGCUCCCUGCUCAAGAAGUGCUUGGAGUUUAUAGUCAGAACUCCGGCGACUCUUGAUGCUGUCAUGGCGACGGAUGGGUAUCAACACCUAGAGGCAAGCUGCCCCUUGGUGCUGCGCGAGCUACUCAAGUCCGCCCGUGGCAGAAAGCGUAGCUAG
rnacentral:rRNA from 1 species